GCCCAUUGGCCAAUCUGAACUGUGGCCCAGUGCAAGAUGGGGUCAUUCCAAUGUUCUAAUUCAUGAUGAAUCAUCAGAACCGUAUCUUCUAGUUGUUGGUGGCUACCCUAGCAAGGACUGCUGGCUUUUCAAUAUUAAUAAACGUGUAUGGCAAGAGCUCACAUGUACUGUUCCAGUCACUGUCACUGGUAGAUACUAUCAUUCUCUAGGAGCGUGGAGUGUGACACCAGUUAGUGUGUGGGUUAUUGAGCAUGGUAGAUUUAAGAAAGGACCAAUUGUUAAUACUACAGCAAUUAUUGAAUUGACUUGUACUCAAACAAAGAAAUGGUCUAUUUCUUUCAUCACCCUAAGCAACUAUUAAGAGAAACUAAAGGAAAGAAGAAGAGAAUGGGAGGAGCUGAAGACUGCAAGACAGAAUUGCUCAGCACGUAGGUCACAGUUGAAUUAUGAACACAAGGAGAUCUAGAUAGCUGGAAGAUCAAGGAGCAUGUUCAAUUGAAGCUGCACCAGGAGCUAAAAGAGGCUAGAAUCCAGCUACAACAGAAAGAGAAGGAGCUUCAAGUGGUCCAAGAGGAGCUUUUAACAAUCAGUCAGGCCCAGGAGAAGGAGUUUCAAAAAAGAGAGAGGGAUAUUUGAUUAGAAUUUGCAGAAACGGAGCUACAGCUCCAGAUGGUAAAAGUCCAGCUAUCGGAGGCGAAGCAGCAAGCAAGCGUCGUUCAGUUUCAAUUGCAAGAGAAGGAAAAGGAGCUCUCAACAGCUCAGCUACAGCUUUCAGAGGCAAUGGAGGAACUCAAUGGACUAAGGAGAGAGUUGGAAGAGAAGGAAAAUAUCGAGAGAGAAAAGGAGAAACAUCGUAAGAAGGAGAAUGCUUUCUGGUUUGUGAGGAAAGAUGACAUGUCACAAUCAGUCCAGAUAACUUCACUCUAGUAACAGAUAAUAACGGAGUACACAAGAUAUCAAUAAACGGACAUGACAGUGGGUCUUUAGCUGAAAAGGGAGAGAAAUCAGGCCAGUUUAGUACAUAUAAUUGCCUCUCAUCUUACACAUCGCAUCUGUGUUGCUGAUCGUGGCAAUCACAGAAUUCAAGUCCUCAAUCCAGACUUGACCUCAUUUCUUGUGUUUGGCAGCAAAGGAUCUGGUGAGGGCCAGUUUGACGAACCUUGGGGUCUAGCUAUUGACAGUGACAAGUUUCUUUACGUCAUCGACUCUAAGAAUCACCGCAUUCAAAAGUUUACGUCCAAAGGAGAAUUUGUAAUGGAGUUUGGCAAAACUGGAGAAGGGACUUUAUCGUCUCCUGCUGGUAUAACUAUCAGCCACAAGAAUCAGUUAUAUGUCACAAAGAAGGGAACUCAUUCUGUUGCUGUGUUUGAUACUGAGGGUCACUUUAUCAAUCGAUUUGGUCAUCAUGUCAGUAAUCCAGAUUAUUGUCUUAAAUGUCCCGAGGGGAUUGACUUUGACUGCAAUGGACUCUUAUACAUUUGUGACUAUUUUAAUAAAAGAAUAGUAGUAUAUUAGUUGUUAUUUUUGCAAAUCAUAUUUGUGGUUGUAAUAGGUAUUUUUUAUAUAAACAUUCAAA
rnacentral:lncRNA from 1 species